rnacentral:rRNA from 1 species
UUGGAGGGCAAGUCUGGUGCCAGCAGCCGCGGUAAUUCCAGCUCCAAUAGCGUAUAUUAAAGUUGUUGCAGUUAAAAAGCUCGUAGUUGAAUUUCGGGAUCAGAGUGUCGGUCGUGCCUCGGUACGCACUGGUAUUAUUGGUUCCUACCUUCUGAAGAACCGCGAUGUCAUUAAUUUGGUGUCGUGGGAAAUCAGGACUGUUACUUUGAAAAAAUUAGAGUGUUUAAAGCAGGCUUACGCUUGAAUACAUUAGCAUGGAAUAAUGAAAUAGGACGUUUGAUUCUAUUUUGUUGGUUUCUAGGAUUGACGUAAUGAUUAAUAGGGAUAGUUGGGGGCAUUAGUAUUCAAUUGUCAGAGGUGAAAUUCUUGGAUUUAUUGAAGACUAACUACUGCGAAAGCAUUUGCCAAGGAUGUUUUCAUUAAUCAAGAACGAAAGUUAGGGGAUCGAAGACGAUCAGAUACCGUCGUAGUCUUAACCAUAAACUAUGCCGACUAGGGAUCGGAUGAUGUUAAUUUUUUAAUGACUCAUUCGGCGCCUUACGGGAAACCAAAGUGUUUGGGUUC